CUCCCCAGCCAUGUUCGGCGGCCGAAAGUUCCUUCGGCUGCCGAACCUGGUUUCUGCCAAAGGGCAGAAACUUGGCUCCUUCAAGCACAUUUGCCUCUAAAACUUCCAAUCAUGCAUUUAGCUCAACCAAAACAUGCAAAUAUACAUACAUUGGCUCCUAGGGGCUUCAAACUAACUUCAACCCCAACUACAACACACAACAACAACACAAAUCCAACAUACAUUGCUCAAAACAUA
rnacentral:lncRNA from 1 species